rnacentral:miRNA from 1 species
UCAUGUGCCUGUUGUAGUUCC